AAUAAUACGUUUAUUAUUCUCAUUCCCCUCCGACAAAAAGACUCCUAUGCUGCAAUUACUCUCUCUCCGGAGAAUCACCGAUCAUAGGAAUCGGAGAGCCCAAAUUGACGGUUUCGGAAGGCUUCAACCCUCACACUUCACCAUCUAAUUCGUCUUUCAUCUCCGUUUAAGCGUCUUCAUUUCAAACAUGGCAGCGGAGAGGCACGCCUCUUCGCGCGCAACAUCAUCUGAAGACAACGCGAUGUUUCUUGACAUACUGCAUGAGGCACCGUUAUUUGGUCAUCGGAAGCCUGCAAGAACUGUUGGAAGCAUAAUUUAUUGUUUUGUUUUGGUAGGCUAUGCUGCUCUGGCUAUUGGAGCGCCAUGGAUUUUUCAUCCUAUAAAGCACUUGGUUGAACCAUUGCUCUGCAGUUGUCAUGUCGUUCUCUUGAUGCUCACAGGUAUCUUUCAGCAAUAUCUAGUAUACCAAGUCCACAAAAUUCGUUUGCAGGGUUAUUAUAGCUUUAGCCAGAAGUUAAAGCAUAUUGUUCGUCUACCUUUUGCAGUUACUGCAUAUGGAACUGCUGCCCUUUUACUUGUCAUGGUAUGGGAACCUCAAAUCAGUGCACUUUCGAUCCCCAUAAUUUUAAGGUUGAUUAUGUUAAUUGAAGCGGUGUGUGCUGGAUCAUUUAUGAUUAUAUAUAUCAGCUAUGUACAAAAGUACAAUUCAUUAAAUUCUCAGCCUGAUGUUUUGAAGUCAUUGUAUUCUCCACUUCAGCAAUCAAGUUCUUUGGAAGAUCUAAGGUAUCAUGAUGUUGGUCGACUUUCUGAUCAGCAAAUGGCUCUGUUGCAAUAUCAGCGAGAGAACCUUCAUUUUCUGAAUGAGGAGAUUCUUCGGUUGCAAGAGUGCUUAAGUAAAUAUGAACGGUCCAGUGAUGGAAGCACGCCUCAGGUUGAUCUUGCCCAUAUGCUAGCUGCUCGUGAUCAGGAAUUGAGGACACUUUCGGCUGAGGUCUUGCUUCUUUCGAGCUGCAUGUUCCACAGCCCACUGGAUGGUCGAAAAAGAAAUUCCUCAAAAUUUUCUUCUCUCUUGGAAAGGUGAACUGAGGAGCACCUCCUUGAUCAUAUCAAGAGUCUGAACAAACUAACAGCCGCACAACAAAUAAUGCAGUCCUUUUUCUGAGCAUACAAAGGAUUCAACAUUUCGGGAGCACACAAUGGAAGAAUGUCAUGAACACGAUCCAUAGUAUUGGCCCUCUCAUGUAAAACUUGCAACCAAAAAAAUUAUCUGUGUAGGGACUAACCUUCUAAAGUGAAGCGAAGGUAGUUUGGGUUGAGGAAAGCAUAGACAACAAACUAAACUAUUGCAAGAGAAGCCCGUGGAAGAAUCUGGGUUCUAAAACCUAAAAGCCCUUUCCCUCGAAACAAACGUUGAUCGUGGAGAAAAGAAAGUCGAUCGUGGAAAAAAGAAAGGAGACCCGCCACAUCCAACGAGUAACACCACUCUAUUAGAAAGAUGGUGCUUGGAGCCUGAUAUCUUGUAAAACUUACGAACUACAUUGAUCACACAUACAAUCAAAAUUUCCAUAAUAAUAUGAAUUAUAUGUUGCAGAUGAAUCAGGUGACAUCAGAACUUAGGCUUGCUCGAUCCGUUAUAGCUGAGAGGGAUACCGAGAUUCAGAAAUUACUCACCACCAACAAGCAGUAUGUAGAAGAAAAUGAAAGACUGAGAGCUAUUCUA